GACGUAGGAGGCGAGCGUUGUCCGGAUUCAUUGGGCGUAAAGAGCACGCAGGCGGUUUGGCAAGUCGGAUGUGAAAACCCGGAGCUCAACUCCGGACCUGCAUCCGAAACUGCCCGACUAGAGGUAGGUAGGGGAGAUCGGAAUUCCUGGUGUAGCGGUGAAAUGCGCAGAUAUCAGGAGGAACACCGGUGGCGAAGGCGGAUCUCUGGGCCUUACCUGACGCUCAGGUGCGAAAGCUAGGGGAGCGAAUGGG
rnacentral:rRNA from 1 species